CAGGCCCCAGGGCCAGCUGCCAAGGGCUCAGGUCACAGCUAUCCCUUAACACGGGAAGGGCACUAACUGCCUAGACAGGCCCCAGGAAAGUGAACCUCCCCUCCCUGGCCCCCACUGGCCCAACAGGAAAAAAUACAGUGGCGGCCAAGUCAUCUGAAUGGAAUUUCUCUUUAACACCUAGGAGCCUCAUCAUCCUGGACUCACAAAUCCAACCACCUGGCUCUUUCUAAAUCCCUUUCUUUACGUUUCACAUAUUUCAGCCCUGGUAAUCCCAGUCUUGAGUGCUCUGUGCUGUUGUUCAGCAAGGUAAUGUGUUUGUUUUUUCAGCACUGAGUGGUAGCCACUUGAGGUUUUCCAUGAGGGGGCCUGAUGGGCACCCUGGGCCUGACCCCCUGGGUCUUGCACAGCAAUGUGGAAAAUGGACCUGCUGUUAAGAACUGCCUCCCAGCUGCACAGGAACUAUCCUGCUUUCUAGACACCAAGCAAAUUCCUGAACCAGGCCAGAGCCCAGCAAACCUGUGUAGAGCAAAGCCAGCACUCCUGCAUUUUCUGCAGUGAGCACACCCACGCUGUCCAAAUGUUUUCUAUCAGGCAUCCGGCCCAGCAAAGCAAAGUCUCGUGGCUUUCCAACCAAAAACCACUGCUCUCCUCUAUGACAGCAAAGCAUCCUAUAGAUCAAACCUCCUCCUUGUGACAACUAAAUAACUUAUACAAAAGAAGCAGAUCAAAUCCCCAAAGUUGAAAUCUUCACUUUCUAAUUACUUAUCAAUGAAGCUUAAAAAAUGUCCAGUAGAAAACAA